rnacentral:tRNA from 1 species
UGCCCGAUGGUGUAAUGGUAACACAUCUGGUUUUGGUCCAGACAUCCUAGGUUCGAAUCCUAGUCGGGUAA